CAGGGCCCUAAACUCAUUGGAAAUCCUUUCUUCCCAACUUCCAAGGCAAAGCACACUGGUUUAUUCGCCAACGAGUGCUAAAAACCCAGCAGGUCUUGCAGGACAGACAUCAACCUGUGCCUCGUGUCAACUAGAGCCCCAGAGAAGUGUCGUCAAUGGUUUUCAAAGCAUGUGCCACCAAGAAUACCUCUCACAUGGCGAUUCCAAAGUGAACAAGACGUGUGUGAAGGAAAUCUGGCAGAGACAUUGAGAAAGAACUUCAGAGUAUAAAGGCAUGGAACUCUCAGUGGAGGGAGGUUCCUGGCACUGUGACACCAAACCAUAAGAAGCUUGGGCAAGGAGUAGCUGAAGCUUUGAGAUGUCACUUAAAACCCAUUAAUUCUCCACCUCUAUAACUGAGGUAUUAGUCACCAGAACAACAGAGUGCCUACCAGCCAAAGGUCUCCAGGGAGAAAUGAAUUAUGGUGUUUCUGAUGAAGUCGGCCAUUGUCAUAGGAUCUCCCUCCUCAGUUCAAAAUGCUAAUCCUACAGUAAAAGUCAGGUGAAGAGUUGGCUCCUCAGCGCACUUUCAUCAUGAAGCACUGCCUUGCCACAGACAACCUAUUAAAGGCAAUGAUAUCAAGUGAUCACCAAGCACAACUGCCAGCCAAAAUCUCCCUUUCCCCUUUUAGAGUCAAUAGUCUUGGAUGCUUUUCCGUUGUGGUAGAAAGCUAAUACGUUUCACCCUCAGAGGGCCAAGAAACAGAAGACCACUUCUGGACCGUAUAUGACAGUUCACUGGCAUAGGAUCUGAUGCUUUUUCUCACUUUCAUCCAUCAAACUGUUCUUCAUUAGAGACUUGAAAAAAAGACCUUGUAAAAGUCGUGUGCUUCUGUUGACUCCCACCCAGCUCCCAUACAAAGAAGUCCAGUCGCAAUGUGUCAAAAGUGACUGCUUUUAGCACAAUCGUACUAGAUAUCAACAUGUUAAAUAUUAGCUAUUAAUGAGACAUUAAAGUCAAUUAAGUUUCUUUAAUCUAUUACUUCCUUGCAACAAAUAAAACCUGGUGUUAAUUGUCUGAGAAGUACUGCUGAUGGAAACCUUCAUUUCUCUGUCUGUGUUUGCAGUGCCUCAGGUUUCUCCCACUCUUGUUCAGAAUUCCAUGUACAGUGUACCCCUACCUUGUCCCUUAUCACCACUGAUCUGUUCUCCAUUUCCAUAAUUUGUAUCUAUAAGAUGUUUGUUAAUGUAAAAAGCAGCGUUGUGAUAAGCAGAAUAAAGAUGCUACAUAGAAUAUCCAUGCAAUAAUACUAUUGCCAUACCCCC
rnacentral:lncRNA from 1 species